rnacentral:lncRNA from 1 species
CGCAAGUUUCUCCUUGACCCGCUAUCAAGUGCUUGAAAGCAGACUGCAGGAAACCAUAGGAGCGCAAAGAACUGUAUGGAAAGAGAGCUCUUGGAAGGUGCCUUGCACAAAUGUCUACAACGGUUUUAUUAAGCGGGAGGAAUUUAGGCUGCAAUUGGUGUCUACCUCUCCAGGAGAGAUCGUCCACUCGUUUCUGAGUGGGGCUCGCUAUCCCAGGCAGGACCAGCCUUCAAGUCCCCUGAGAACGCGGCUGGUGGCACCGUUGAUCCGGCACUGAUUAGUUAGAAUAUGAUUAUCAUUAUGCAGACAUAACAACAUUUUAAUAUCAAGACUACAGAGGGAAGACUUGCUUACAGAGUCCUACAAGGAUCUAUCCAUAGUUCUUCAAAAACUUUGUUUUAUUUUGACAAGAAAUUGACCCAAUCUCACGGAAAUAAGAUGUUUUCUCCAGAUUUUUGGAUCGUCUUCUUUCAGUAAGUUGCUGAAACUUUAUCAAAAUCACAUUUCAAGGACAGCAGGCGGGGUGUGAGGUCCCACC